GACGAAGGUGGCGAGCGUUGUUCGGAAUCACUGGGCAUAAAGCGCGCGUAGGCGGCUAUGUAAGUCAGGUGUGAAAGCCCUCGGCUCAACCGAGGAACUGCGCCUGAUACUGCAUGGCUUGAGGUCCGGAGGGGAGAGUGGAAUUCCCGGUGGAGUGGUGAAAUGCGUAGAGAUCGGGAGGAACACCGGUGGCGAAGGCGGGUCUCUGGGCCGAUACUGACGCUGAGACGCGAAAGCGUGGGGAGCGAACAGG
rnacentral:rRNA from 1 species